rnacentral:rRNA from 1 species
CGUAGGGUGCGAGCGUUAAUCGGAAUUACUGGGCGUAAAGGGUGCGCAGGCGGUUAUAUAAGACAGAUGUGAAAUCCCCGGGCUCAACCUGGGAACUGCGUUUGUGACUGUAUGACUAGAGUACGGUAGAGAGGGGUGGAAUUCCUGGUGUAGCAGUGAAAUGCGUAGAUAUCAGGAGGAACAUCGAUGGCGAAGGCAGCCCCUUGGACCUGUACUGACGCUCAUGCACGAAAGCGUGGGGAGCAAACAGGAUUAGAUACCCUGGUAGUCCACGCCCUAAACGAUGAUCACUAGUUGUUCGGAAAGGUGACUUUCUGAGUAACGUAGCUAACGCGUGAAGUGAUCCGCCUGGGGAGUACGGUCGCAAGAUUA